rnacentral:rRNA from 1 species
UGGGGAAUUUUGGACAAUGGGGGCAACCCUGAUCCAGCAAUGCCGCGUGAGUGAAGAAGGCCUUCGGGUUGUAAAGCUCUUUUGUCAGGGAAGAAACGGUGAGGGCUAAUACCCUGUGCUAAUGACGGUACCUGAAGAAUAAGCACCGGCUAACUACGUGCCAGCAGCCGCGGUAAUACGUAGGGUGCAAGCGUUAAUCGGAAUUACUGGGCGUAAAGCGUGCGCAGGCGGUUAUGUAAGACAGGUGUGAAAUCCCCGGGCUUAACCUGGGAAUGGCAUUUGUGACUGCAUGGCUAGAGUGUGUCAGAGGGGGGUAGAAUUCCACGUGUAGCAGUGAAAUGCGUAGAGAUGUGGAGGAAUACCGAUGGCGAAGGCAGCCCCCUGGGAUAACACUGACGCUCAUGCACGAAAGCGUGGGGAGCAAACAGGAUUAGAUACCCCCGUAGUCC